rnacentral:rRNA from 1 species
GUGGGGAAUCUUAGACAAUGGGGGAAACCCUGAUCUAGCCAUGGCGCGUGAGCGAUGAAGGCCUUAGGGUUGUAAAGCUCUUUCGUGGGGGAAGAUAAUGACUGUACCCCAAGAAGAAGCCCCGGCUAACUCCGUGCCAGCAGCCGCGGUAAUACGGAGGGGGCUAGCGUUGUUCGGAAUUACUGGGCGUAAAGCGCACGUAGGCGGACUGGAAAGUCAGGGGUGAAAUCCCGGGGCUCAACCCCGGAACUGCCUUUGAAACUCCCAGUCUUGAGUUCGAGAGAGGUGAGUGGAAUUCCGAGUGUAGAGGUGAAAUUCGUAGAUAUUCGGAGGAACACCAGUGGCGAAGGCGGCUCACUGGCUCGAUACUGACGCUGAGGUGCGAAAGCGUGGGGAGCAAACAGGAUUAGAAACCCUGGUAGUCC